rnacentral:rRNA from 1 species
ACUCCUACGGGAGGCAGCAGUGGGGAAUAUUGCGCAAUGGGCGAAAGCCUGACGCAGCAACGCCGCGUGUGUGAUGAAGGCUCUAGGGUCGUAAAGCACUUUCAAUGAGGAAGAAAAGAAUCUGGAGUAACUGCCAGGUUUAUGACGGUACUCAUAUAAGAAGCACCGGCUAACUUCGUGCCAGCAGCCGCGGUAAU